rnacentral:rRNA from 1 species
CACGCCCUAAACGAUGUCGACUGGUUGUUGGAAGGGUAACCUUUUAGUAACGAAGCUAACGCGUGAAGUCGACCGCCUGGGGAGUACGGUCGCAAGAUUAAAACUCAAAGGAAUUGACGGGGACCCGCACAAGCGGUGGAUGAUGUGGUUUAAUUCGAUGCAACGCGAAAAACCUUACCUACACUUGACAUGUCAGAAAUCCUGCAGAGAUGUGGGAGUGCCGCAAGGAAUCUGAACACAGGUGC